rnacentral:tRNA from 1 species
GAGAUUAACCACGAACUGCUAAAUCACGCCACCGAGCCUAAGACACUCGGAAUUCUC